rnacentral:rRNA from 1 species
UGGGGAAUAUUGCACAAUGGGCGCAAGCCUGAUGCAGCGACGCCGCGUGGGGGAUGACGGCCUUCGGGUUGUAAACCUCUUUCACCAUCGACGAAGGCCUGGUUUGUGCCGGGUUGACGGUAGGUGGACAAGAAGCACCGGCCAACUACGUGCCAGCAGCCGCGGUAAUACGUAGGGUGCGAGCGUUGUCCGGAAUUACUGGGCGUAAAGAGCUCGUAGGUGGUUUGUCGCGUUGUUCGUGAAAACUCACUGCUUAACGGUGGGCGUGCGGGCGAUACGGGCAGACUGGAGUACUGCAGGGGAGACUGGAAUUCCUGGUGUAGCGGUGGAAUGCGCAGAUAUCAGGAGGAACACCGGUGGCGAAGGCGGGUCUCUGGGCAGUAACUGACGCUGAGGAGCGAAAGCGUGGGGAGCGAACAGGAUUAGAUACCCCCGUAGUCC